rnacentral:rRNA from 1 species
ACCUACGGGGGGCAGCAGUGGGGGAUAUUGCGCAAUGGGGGAAACCCUGAUGCAGCGACGCCGCGUGAGCGAUGAAGUAUUUCGGUAUGUAAAGCUCUAUCAGCAGGGAAGAAAAUGACGGUACCUGACUAAGAAGCCCCGGCUAACUACGUGCCAGCAGCCGCGGUAAUACGUAGGGGGCAAGCGUUAUCCGGAUUUACUGGGUGUAAAGGGAGCGAAGACGGCGAUGCAAGUCUGAAGUGAAAGGCGGGGGCCCAACCCCUGGACUGCUUUGGAAACUGUAUGG